GGGGUAACGAUGAGGGCUUCGGUUCUUAGGCGACGACCGGCGCACGGGUGAGUAACGCGUAUGGAAUCUACCUAUAACACAGGGAUAGUCAAGAGAAAUUUUGAAUAAUACCUGAUAGUAAUAAUUUUCGGCAUCGGAUAUUAUUUAAAGCAUUAGCGGUUAUAGAUGAGCAUGCGUCCCAUUAGUUAGUUGGUAAGGUAACGGCUUACCAAGGCAUCGAUGGGUAGGGGUCCUGAGAGGGUAAUCCCCCACACUGGUACUGAGACACGGACCAGACUCCUACGGGAGGCAGCAGUGAGGAAUAUUGGGCAAUGGACGCAAGUCUGACCCAGCCAUGCCGCGUGCAGGAUGACUGCCUUAUGGGUUGUAAACUGCUUUUCUACAGGGAUAAACUACAUUACGUGUAAUGUACUGAAGGUACUGUAGGAAUAAGCAUCGGCUAACUCCGUGCCAGCAGCCGCGGUAAUACGGAGGAUGCAAGCGUUAUCCGGAUUUAUUGGGUUUAAAGGGUGCGCAGGCUGUUUGUUAAGUCAGAGGUGAAAUCCCAUCGCUCAACGAUGGAACUGCCUUUGAUACUGGCAGACUUGAGUGUAAUUGAAGUGGGCGGAAUAUGUCAUGUAGCGGUGAAAUGCAUAGAUAUGACAUAGAACACCGAUAGCGAAGGCAGCUCACUAAGUUAUAACUGACGCUCAUGCACGAAAGCGUGGGGAGCGAACAGGAUUAGAUACCCUGGUAGUCCACGCUGUAAACGAUGAUCACUCGUUGUUGGCGAUACACAGUCAGCGACUAAGCGAAAGUGAUAAGUGAUCCACCUGGGGAGUACGUUCGCAAGA
rnacentral:rRNA from 1 species